AACGUAGGACGCAAGCGUUAUCCGGAGUUACUGGGCGUAAAGCGCGGGCAGGCGGUCGCUUAAGUCUGAUGUGAAAUCUCCCGGCUCAACCGGGAGCAGCCAUUGGAAACUAGGCGACUGGAGUCUGGCAGAGGUAGGCGGAAUUCCGGGUGGAGUGGUGAAAUGCGUAGAGAUCCGGAGGAACACCAGAGGCGAAGGCGGCCUACUGGGCCAGUACUGACGCUGAUGUGCGAAAGCGUGGGGAGCAAACAGG
rnacentral:rRNA from 1 species